rnacentral:rRNA from 1 species
AUACGGAGGGUGCAAGCGUUAUUCGGAAUCAUUGGGCGUAAAGGACGCGUAGGCGGGAAGCCAAGUCUGAUGUGAAAUCCUAUGGCUUAACCAUAGAACUGCAUUGGAAACUGGUUACCUAGAGUAUGGGAGGGGGAGAUGGAAUUAGUGGUGUAGGGGUAAAAUCCGUAGAUAUCACUAGGAAUACCGAAAGCGAAGGCGAUCUCCUGGAACAAUACUGACGCUAAGGCGUGAAAGCGUGGGGAGCAAACGGGAUUAGAAACCCCAGUAGUCC